rnacentral:rRNA from 1 species
GAAUCUUCCGCAAUGGACGAAAGUCUGACGGAGCAACGCCGCGUGAGUGAUGAAGGUUUUCGGAUCGUAACGGAUGUUAGCGGCGGACGGAGUAACACGUGGGUAACCUGCCUGUAAGACUGGGAUAACUCCGGGAAACCGGAGCUAAUACCGGAUAGUUCCUUGAACCGCAUGGUUCAAGGAUGAAAGACGGUUUCGGCUGUCACUUACAGAUGGACCCGCGGCGCAUUAGCUAGUUGGUGAGGUAACGGCUCACCAAGGCGACGAUGCGUAGCCGACCUGAGAGGGUGAUCGGCCACACUGGGACUGAGACACCCCAGACUCCUACGGGAGGCAGCAGUAGGGAAUCUUCCGCAAUGGACGAAAGUCUGACGGAGCAACGCCGCGUGAGUGAUGAAGGUUUUCGGAUCGUAAAGCUCUGUUGUUAGGGAAGAACAAGUGCAAGAGUAACUGCUUGCACCUUGACGGUACCUAACCAGAAAGCCACGGCUAACUACGUGCCAGCAGCCGCGGUAAUACGUGGCAAGCGUUGUCCGGAAUUAUUGGGCGUAAAGGGCUCGCAGGCGGUUCUUAAGUCUGAUGUGAAAGCCCCCGGCUCAACCGGGGAGGGUCAUUGGAAACUGGGAAACUUGAGUGCAGAAGAGGAGAGUGGAAUUCCACGUGUAGCGGUGAAAUGCGUAGAGAUGUGGAGGAACACCAGUGGCGAAGGCGACUCUCUGGUCUGUAACUGACGCUGAGGAGCGAAAGCGUGGGGAGCGAACAGGAUUAGAUACCCUGGUAGUCCACGCCAACGAUGAGUGCUAAGUGUUAGGGGGUUUCCGCCCCUUAGUGCUGCAGCUAACGCAUUAAGCACUCCGCCUGGGGAGUACGGUCGCAAGACUGAAACUCAAAGGAAUUGACGGGGGCCCGCACAAGCGGUGGAGCAUGUGGUUUAAUUCGAAGCAACGCGAAGAACCAGCUUAGGACCCCCCUGGAAUACCCUCGGAAGCUGAACUCGAAUA